rnacentral:rRNA from 1 species
AACAUCGCCCUUUGAAAAAAUAAUUAUAAAGGGUACUGCCUGCCCAGUGAUAAAAAUUAAACGGCCGCGGUACUUUGACCGUGCAAAGGUAGCAUAAUCAUUUGUUCUUUAAUUGAGGACUAGUAUGAAAGGCAAAACGAAAGCUUAACUGUCUCCUUUUUAAAAAAUAAAAUUAAUAUUUUUGUGAAGAAGCAAAAAUAAAAAAGUAAGACGAGAAGACCCUGUCGAGCUUAAGAAAAUUUUUAUAAUAAAAUUUUUUAAAGAUAAACAAACUCUACUACAAAAAUAAAAUAAAAAUAUCUUUGGUUGGGGCAACCACGAAGAAAAAAAAACCUUCGUUCAAAAAAAGAAAUUUACAAAUUUAAAAAUUAUUUAAAAUUCAAAAGAUCCAGAAAAUUCUGAUCAAAGAAAAAAGUUACCGCAGGGAUAACAGCGUUAUUCUCUUUAAGAGCUCUUAUUGACAAGAGAGUUUGCGACCUCGAUGUUGGACCGGGGCACCCAAGAGGUGUAGAAGCCUCUAAAGGUAAGUCUGUUCGACCUUUAAAGCCCUACGUGAU